rnacentral:lncRNA from 1 species
CGCCUACCACAGCAGAAUGUGCACACUUAACCGCAGCGCCACCGGCCGGCCCCUGUUUUUUGUUCUUAAAGCCUAAGGAGGAUCCUC